CAGAGAGAGAGCAGUGGCUGGAGGAGAUGAUUGGGGUGAGCCUGUCUGGAAGAUUCGAGCAAGCUAAUAGCAGCUUCUUGGUCUGGGAGCAAAUCAGUCAAGACUGCCUGUCCUGCUCCUGAGAGAUAACCCUAUGUGAAUUAUGAAGAAAAGACUGUUUAACUUACAACAUGGGUCUGAAGUUCAGCAACCAAGAUGACCUUCCCCUGAUGAUUUUUGACUGUUCAAGCUAUUCUCAAACCCAACACAUUUUAAAAGGACAAACAUAUGGAAUACUUGAGAAAUAUAUUUUUUUUCUGUAAAAAUUAUUUUAUAAGCAACUUCUUUGUAUUUUGAGGAAAAGAUUAUAUCUACUAGGAAUUAAGAAGACACAUGGAAACAAAUUAAAUAAAACGAUUGGAAUUUUCUAUUAGAUAUAUAAAUCUUCUAUUCUUUUAUUAAGUCUUGCAAAGAUUUAUUAAAUUUUCUUUGAUUUGAGAAGUACUGCUGAAUUGUAAUAAAAAAGAUGGAUGGAUUUUAAUCCAGCUUUUAUAAUGAUUCAGUGGGUUGAUUGCAGCAUAUUGAUGUAGGGAAUGUAGAGAGAUUAUAAAAGAAGAUUUAUUUUUAAAUUACAAUUUUUGAAAAUUACAAUAGUUUCUUUGGUACAUUCAAUUGUCAUUAGCUGCUGGGUUUUCUCCUUAGUAUCUUUCUAUCAAUGUUCCAUUUUAAUUCAGAUGAAUUUUAAGGAACACAUUUAUUUUAAAAAUUCAUCUAAAACUCUCAAAAAUGA